GACGAACGCUGGCGGCGUGCUUAACACAUGCAAGUCGAACGAUGAAGAAAAGAAUCGAAGCUUCGGCAGAAAUUCAUUUCGGAUUAGUGGCAGACGGGUGAGUAACGCGUGAGCAACCUACCUCUUACAAAGGGAUAGCCUCGGGAAACCGGGAUUAAUACCAUAUAACAUUGCGACGAAGCAUUUCGAUGCAAUCAAAGCUACGGCGGUAAGAGAUGGGCUCGCGUCCCAUUAACCGGAUGGUGAGGUAACGGCUCACCAUAGUGACGAUGGGUAACCGGCCUGAGAGGGUGAACGGUCACACUGGAACUGAGACACGGUCCAGACUCCUACGGGAAGAAGCAGUGGGGAAUAUUGCACAAUGGAGGGAACUCUGAUGCAGCGACGCCGCGUGAGUGAUGAAGGAAUUCGUUUCGUAAAACUCUGUUCUAUGGGAAGAAAAGGACUGUACCAUAGGAGAAAGCUCCGGCUAAAUACGUG
rnacentral:rRNA from 1 species